UACAGAGGUCCCGAGCGUUGUUCGGAUUCACUGGGCGUAAAGGGUGCGUAGGUGGUGAGGUAAGUCGGAUGUGAAAGCUCGGAGCUCAACUCCGAAAAUGGCAUUGGAAACUACCUUGCUCGAGGGGUUGGAGGGGGGACUGGAAUUCCUGGUGUAGCGGUGGAAUGCGCAGAUAUCAGGAGGAACACCGGUGGCGAAGGCGGGUCUCUGGGCAGUAACUGACGCUGAGGAGCGAAAGCGUGGGGAGCGAACAGG
rnacentral:rRNA from 1 species